UACGGGGGGGGCAAGCGUUGUUCGGAAUUACUGGGCGUAAAGGGCUCGUAGGCGGCCAACUAAGUCAGACGUGAAAUCCCUCGGCUUAACCGGGGAACUGCGUCUGAUACUGGAUGGCUUGAAUCCGGGAGAGGGAUGCGGAAUUCCAGGUGUAGCGGUGAAAUGCGUAGAUAUCUGGAGGAACACCGGUAGCGAAGGCGACAUCCUGGACCGGUAUUGACGCUGAGUGAGCGAAAGCCAGGGGAGCAAACGGG
rnacentral:rRNA from 1 species